rnacentral:rRNA from 1 species
UACGUAGGGCGCAAGCGUUAUCCGGAAUUAUUGGGCGUAAAGAGCUCGUAGGCGGUUUGUCGCGUCUGCCGUGAAAGUCCGGGGCUCAACUCCGGAUCUGCGGUGGGUACGGGCAGACUAGGGUGAUGUAGGGGAGACUGGAAUUCCUGGUGUAGCGGUGAAAUGCGCAGAUAUCAGGAGGAACACCGGUGGCGAAGGCGGGUCUCUGGGCCGUAACUGACGCUGAGGAGCGAAAGCGUGGGGAGCGAACAGG